UAUGGGAAAGUCUAAAUGUUUCUCGGAGUUAUCUGAUCUUGUCUCAUUUCAUACGUAAAGUCAAGAGAGAGUCUGAAUGACAUUGACGUCAUUGGGAAAUUUGUUACUUCUUAGACAAACCACAAAUAACACAUGUUAGAUUUUUUUCACGUUAUCUUAUACAAUUUUACUAACUGGAGGAUAAGUACUUUUCAUACGAAAACUAACAGUUUUUUCUGAAACAAUUUUAUAAUUAAUUAUUUACUGCGAGA
rnacentral:lncRNA from 1 species